GGUCAAGUGAAGAAGCGCAUACGGUGGAUGCCUUGGCAGUCAGAGGCGAUGAAAGACGUGGUAGCCUGCGAUAAGCUUCGGGGAGUCGGCAAACAGACUUUGAUCCGGAGAUCUCUGAAUGGGGGAACCCACUCAGCAUAAGCUGAGUAUCUUGUACUGAAUACAUAGGUGCAAGAGGCGAACCAGGGGAACUGAAACAUCUAAGUACCCUGAGGAAAAGAAAUCAACCGAGAUUCCCUUAGUAGUGGCGAGCGAACGGGGACUAGCCCUUAAGUGGCUUUGAGAUUAGCGGAACGCUCUGGAAAGUGCGGCCAUAGUGGGUGAUAGCCCUGUACGCGAAAAUCUCUUAGUCAUGAAAUCGAGUAGGACGGAGCACGAGAAACUUUGUCUGAAUAUGGGGGGACCAUCCUCCAAGGCUAAAUACUACUGACUGACCGAUAGUGAACCAGUACCGUGAGGGAAAGGCGAAAAGAACCCCGGAGAGGGGAGUGAAAUAGAUCCUGAAACCGUAUGCGUACAAGCAGUGGGAGCCUACUUUGUUAGGUGACUGCGUACCUUUUGUAUAAUGGGUCAGCGACUUAUAUUCAGUGGCGAGCUUAACCGAAUAGGGGAGGCGUAGCGAAAGCGAGUCUUAAUAGGGCGUUUAGUCGCUGGGUAUAGACCCGAAACCGGGCGAUCUAUCCAUGGGCAGGUUGAAGGUUAGGUAACACUGACUGGAGGACCGAACCGACUACCGUUGAAAAGUUAGCGGAUGACCUGUGGAUCGGAGUGAAAGGCUAAUCAAGCUCGGAGAUAGCUGGUUCUCCUCGAAAGCUAUUUAGGUAGCGCCUCAUGUAUCACUGUAGGGGGUAGAGCACUGUUUCGGCUAGGGGGUCAUCCCGACUUACCAAACCGAUGCAAACUCCGAAUACCUACAAGUGCCGAGCAUGGGAGACACACGGCGGGUGCUAACGUCCGUCGUGAAAAGGGAAACAACCCAGACCGUCAGCUAAGGUCCCAAAGUUAUGGUUAAGUGGGAAACGAUGUGGGAAGGCUUAGACAGCUAGGAGGUUGGCUUAGAAGCAGCCACCCUUUAAAGAAAGCGUAAUAGCUCACUAGUCGAGUCGGCCUGCGCGGAAGAUGUAACGGGGCUCAAACCAUACACCGAAGCUACGGGUAUCACUUAGGUGAUGCGGUAGAGGAGCGUUCUGUAAGCCUGUGAAGGUGAGUUGAGAAGCUUGCUGGAGGUAUCAGAAGUGCGAAUGCUGACAUGAGUAACGACAAUGGGAGUGAAAAACUCCCACGCCGAAAGACCAAGGUUUCCUGCGCAACGUUAAUCGACGCAGGGUUAGUCGGUCCCUAAGGCGAGGCUGAAAAGCGUAGUCGAUGGAAAACAGGUUAAUAUUCCUGUACUUCUGGUUAUUGCGAUGGAGGGACGGAGAAGGCUAGGCCAGCUUGGCGUUGGUUGUCCAAGUUUAAGGUGGUAGGCUGAGAUCUUAGGUAAAUCCGGGAUCUUAAGGCCGAGAGCUGAUGACGAGUUGCCAUUAGGCGACGAAGUGGUUGAUGCCAUGCUCCCAAGAAAAGCUUCUAAGCUUCAGAUAACCAGGAACCGUACCCCAAACCGACACAGGUGGUUGGGUAGAGAAUACCAAGGCGCUUGAGAGAACUCGGGUGAAGGAACUAGGCAAAAUGGCACCGUAACUUCGGGAGAAGGUGCGCCGGUGAGGGUGAAGGACUUGCUCCGUAAGCCCAUGCCGGUCGAAGAUACCAGGCCGCUGCGACUGUUUAUUAAAAACACAGCACUCUGCAAACACGAAAGUGGACGUAUAGGGUGUGACGCCUGCCCGGUGCCGGAAGGUUAAUUGAUGGGGUUAGCUAACGCGAAGCUCUUGAUCGAAGCCCCGGUAAACGGCGGCCGUAACUAUAACGGUCCUAAGGUAGCGAAAUUCCUUGUCGGGUAAGUUCCGACCUGCACGAAUGGCGUAACGAUGGCGGCGCUGUCUCCACCCGAGACUCAGUGAAAUUGAAAUCGCUGUGAAGAUGCAGUGUAUCCGCGGCUAGACGGAAAGACCCCGUGAACCUUUACUAUAGCUUUGCACUGGACUUUGAAUUUGCUUGUGUAGGAUAGGUGGGAGGCUUUGAAGCGUGGACGCCAGUUCGCGUGGAGCCAUCCUUGAAAUACCACCCUGGCAACUUUGAGGUUCUAACUCAGGUCCGUUAUCCGGAUCGAGGACAGUGUAUGGUGGGUAGUUUGACUGGGGCGGUCUCCUCCUAAAGAGUAACGGAGGAGUACGAAGGUGCGCUCAGACCGGUCGGAAAUCGGUCGUAGAGUAUAAAGGCAAAAGCGCGCUUGACUGCGAGACAGACACGUCGAGCAGGUACGAAAGUAGGUCUUAGUGAUCCGGUGGUUCUGUAUGGAAGGGCCAUCGCUCAACGGAUAAAAGGUACUCCGGGGAUAACAGGCUGAUACCGCCCAAGAGUUCAUAUCGACGGCGGUGUUUGGCACCUCGAUGUCGGCUCAUCACAUCCUGGGGCUGAAGCCGGUCCCAAGGGUAUGGCUGUUCGCCAUUUAAAGUGGUACGCGAGCUGGGUUUAGAACGUCGUGAGACAGUUCGGUCCCUAUCUGCCGUGGACGUUUGAGAUUUGAGAGGGGCUGCUCCUAGUACGAGAGGACCGGAGUGGACGAACCUCUGGUGUUCCGGUUGUCACGCCAGUGGCAUUGCCGGGUAGCUAUGUUCGGAAGAGAUAACCGCUGAAAGCAUCUAAGCGGGAAACUUGCCUCAAGAUGAGAUCUCACUGGAGCCUUGAGCUCCCUGAAGGGCCGUCGAAGACUACGACGUUGAUAGGUUGGGUGUGUAAGCGCUGUGAGGCGUUGAGCUAACCAAUACUAAUUGCCCGUGAGGCUUGACCAU
rnacentral:rRNA from 1 species